CCUACGGGGGGCUGCAGUGGGGAAUAUUGGACAAUGGGGGCAACCCUGAUCCAGCAAUGCCGCGUGGGUGAUGAAGGCCUUCGGGUUGUAAAGCCCUUUCGGCGGGGACGAUGAUGACGGUACCCGCAGAAGAAGCCCCGGCUAACUUCGUGCCAGCAGCCGCGGUAAUACGAAGGGGGCUAGCGUUGUUCGGAAUGACUGGGCGUAAAGGGCGCGUAGGCGGCGAUUUUAGUCAGGCGUGAAAGCCCUGGGCUCAACCUAGGAACUGCGUUUGAUACUGGAUCGCUUGAGUGUGGGAGAGGAUGGUGGAAUUCCCAGUGUAGAGGUGAAAUUCGUAGAUAUUGGGAAGAACACCGGUGGCGAAGGCGGCCAUCUGGACCACUACUGACGCUGAGGCGCGAAAGCGUGGGGAGCAAACAGGAUUAGAUACCCCUGUAGUC
rnacentral:rRNA from 1 species